rnacentral:lncRNA from 1 species
GGUUUGGUGCAUAUGUUUUCUGGGGAGGGUUUUUGUUUUGUUUUGUUGGAGAUUCCACUGGAGCGGCUGCAGCCAGAUGGAAGUAAUCAGAACCCAACAACAGAAGGAGAGAGAAGCAAAAACCUCGCUGCAUUUUCGGGCCAAAGUGUGCUGAGCGAACUCGAGGAGUCCUGGGACCUCCAGCCACCCCACAGCCCGCAGCUGGCCGCCCAAUUUAGAGAAGCAAGAGGGCGCUGGCUAGAGUGCCCUCCAAGGCUCCGGAUCCACACCAAGAGUGCCUCACCAGCUCAAUUCCUGCUGGAAUCCAGACACUCACAGAACCUUUCCUGGCUUAUUUUGGCAAAAAGAUGACUGUGGAGAAGAAGAUGGAAUGUUUUCAGUUUAGGAGAGUUCUGGGAGCACCGUGCCUUAC